rnacentral:rRNA from 1 species
CUACGGGAGGCAGCAGUAAGGAACAUUGGUCAAUGGAGGCAACUCUGAACCAGCCAUGCCGCGUGCAGGAAGACAGCCCUCUGGGUCGUAAACUGCUUUUAUUCGGGAAUAAACCUACUUACGUGUAAGUAGCUGAAUGUACCGAAGGAAUAAGGAUCGGCUAACUCCGUGCCAGCAGCCGCGGUAAUACGGAGGAUCCAAGCGUUAUCCGGAUUUAUUGGGUUUAAGGGGUGCGUAGGCGGCUUUUUAAGUCAGGGGUGAAAGACGGUGGCUCAACCAUCGCAGUGCCCUUGAUACUGAAGAGCUUGAAUACAUUAGAGGUAGGCGGAAUGUGACAAGUAGCGGUGAAAUGCAUAGAUAUGUCACAGAACACCGAUUGCGAAGGCAGCUUACUAUGAUGAGAUUGACGCUGAGGCACGAAAGCGUGGGGAUCAAACAGGAUUAGAUACCCCGGUAGUCA